ensembl:lncRNA
CUUUAAUCUAGCACUAUUCAUGUAGGUUUGGGAAUUAUUUGUCCCAGGGCUGCAAAUGCAUAUACAACAUGAUAUACACACCACAAUAAGUACAGCAUUAAACACAAUAGGGAAAGCAUUAAACUUUCAUUGAAAAUAUAAAAUUACCAAACAGUUGAAGAAACCCGUGGUAAAGACGAUGGGUUUUUACACGGCAUCUCAGCUCUGCAUGUAACCUAAUUCUGCCUCUAGAAAAAAUGUAGUAAAGCUAGUUUUAUGAAUGAGUCGAUUUGCACACAUUGGAAAGAAAAGAAGAAAAAGCUUAAAGUUCUCAACCCAAUUAUCCAAACUUUAAAAGGUUAUCUACAAAUAGGUUGAUAAGCACAGACAUCUCUUUGAGCCCAUUAUACAGAAAUACAUAUUUUAAACUUCCUAUCAUAAAUUUGGCCAUGUGUUAAGUACUACAAACUUUAUUCUUAAAUGACCUUUAAGAAAUCAUGACCUGCCCAUUGCCCCUGAAGGAGCUCGGUCCGGUGCCCCCGCUGCUGCAGUGAGACUGCGUUGAGCGCCAGCUCCCGGCAGCUGGGGAAGCCCUCCGCCGCCAAUCCAGGCUUCCCCGCGCCUUGCGUCACGCCCCCAGGAUGACGUCGAAGGCCACCCUGGCCGGCCACGUGGGCCGCUGCCCCCGAGACCCGCGUGGCAGCAGCGGUGCCCAGCGUGGGGAGCGGAGGGAGCGCGCAGGCUCCUCGGGGCGGUCCUCGAGCCUGACUGGAGCCCGGGUCCUGGCCCAAACUCAGCCGGCCCUGAGGGGUUGAGGGACCGGGACCGCGGAGCGCGACCGCCCCGGGCGCCUCCUCCCCGGCCGGCACCGCGAGGCGCUCUCCGCGCCAGUUCUGCCCCGGGCCCCGCCGCGCUCUCCCGACCCGCCCUCCGCUUCCCAGGACCUUGCUGAGCCCGGCGCACUGCGCGGGAGGGCGCGACAGUGCUGCCCCAGCUGUGCCCGGGACAUCGCCUGCGCCCCGAGCCCCGGUCGCCGGGGUGGUGCGCCCGCGCUCGGUGCCACGUCGGAACUGCCCGGAGCGCGCGGUGAUGGCGCGGGACCCUCCUCCCGGGUCCCGGCGAGCGGAGGAGGGCGGAGCGGGCCCGGGCCGCUGAGCCCCUGGGUCCCCGCCGCGAGGCGCCGGGCUGCUCAGCAUCCUCCCCUCCGCGGGAGCCGGGCAGGGGCACACGCGUCGCCCUCCAGUGGGGGCUCCUGGCCGGCGAGCAGCCCCGAGGACGCUGCGCGGGAGGCCCGUCCGGGAGCGCACACGAGGGCACCCAGCGCUACGGCGGUCGGAGGGGCCGCCCGGCCUCCGGUCUAUGGGAAAGCUCCACUGCGGUGCACCCGGCUUGGUGCGGAGCCUGCGCCGACAGCGUGUGAGGCGCUCGGGCUUCCGCGCGUAACCCCCGGGCGCGGCGGAGCCUACCUUGCUCAGCUGUGCAUGCAGCCGUCCUCAGCUGCCUGCGCGGCCCGGCGGGGCGGGAGCAGUGUCCAGGGCCGAGGUGAUGGAGCUCAGAUGGACUUGAGACGGUCGGCCAGAAAGCAGAGGAAAUUUACAAACAACAUUUAAAAAGUGGGGUGGAGAUUGCUUGGCUCCGACGAUUGCCAACCUGUGAGACCCCAGAGGCUUCGAAGCUUCGAGCUUCCAGCCUGGAGCAGCGUUGUGCAGUGCUGUGUCUUAGUACCCUGCGAGAGUCCCGAUGCUCAUGGCUCAAGCAACGAGGACACUCAAUUACAGGGAAACUGUCACAUGCAAAAAAGAGUUCUAGCAGCAAGAACAGGAAUAUGAGCAGCGGUCCUGUCACGCGAAGUAUGACUACAGGAAAGAGUAGGACUGUGAACAGCACGGACUUCCCAACUCCUCUUCGCCUUGCAUGUUCAGGUAGUUUAAAAGUCUUGAUUGUGGUCGUGAUUAAGUAUCCAUGACCUUGGAAACAAUCAUUCCAAACUUUGAUUCUAUGAAUUGGACUAUUUAAAAAUGCAUCAUUUAAGUGUAAUCAUGCAGUUGACCUACUCAUGUGGGCGUAAGGCUUCUUACAUUUUUAAAGAGUUGUUCUGUGACUAACAUGCAAUAUGUCCUUGGGAAAAACCCACAUGAACCUGAGAAGAAUGUGCAUUCUGCUGCUGCUGGAAUAAUGUUCUGUAUGCAUGCAUCAUUACCAUUUGGUCUGGAGUGUAUUAUGCAGCACUCUGAGAAGGUAAAAAAGGUGCAUCCCCAUCUUCAUCAGGGGAGCAAAAUUGCCAUGUUUUCCACUUCGCCACAUUGACAUCUGAGGGAGGCUCUGCUAUUCCUGGGUGCAGGUCGAACUCUGGCUCGUCCUUUGAUUUCCACUGCUGUGCCCCAGCUGUCACGAGUGUGUUAAUGCAGCCUGUGUGUCCUGCACUGACACAGCAGCUGGAGGCAGUGGGAAAGCCCUGGAUCCCUGCAUGCCUCAUGGACCUCAUCCCAGGGUGGAGUAGGACUAGUGCCUCAUGACUGCAGCUGGACGGAAGCUCUGGUUUCCCUGAGUCUCCUUGAUGUCUCAGAGCUCUGAGGUCUUCUCACAAGCAGACAGACAGUGCUGGUUUCCUCUUCCCUCUCUGACACCACUGAGGGCAGCUGAUGACGGUGACAAUCCAGGCUCCUCGCUGAAGCUUUGCUCUGGGCAGGGUGGCACCACAGCCUGUUCUGCAGUGUUUGGCUGGAGUAGAGCAGAGUCUGUCUCCAAGUUCGCUGUCUUGCUGGGCGGCCCCUUCGGUGAGCUGCUGGCUGAAGAGAAAAGGCUUCCAGGAGGCAUUGCUGUGGUUGUCUGCACUUGUUGGCAUUUCUGGGUGGCCACGUUCUUCACUGCAUAUGCGAGGUUUAUAAAGCAAAAAGAAAAUCCCAGGAGACUCACCACUGUGUCAUUGCUUAAAUCCCAAGGUCUCGAGCCAAUCUGCCUUCUAUUCUUCACAUUUCAAGGCCUUCUUAUCUCUGUCUCCUGUGUAAUUUUCAAGGUUUUUAGUUGUGCUCAGUAGAAGAAAUAAGGAAAAGCAUAUCUGCUUCCCCCCUCCCCUGUGAGAACUAAUGUGAUUACUUGCUUUCGUAAAGUCUACAUAACUUAACAAAACAUACUGUAUGGGGAAGAUAAUAGAUCUGUAAAAUCUAAUUGUGUUUGAAAUAAUUCCUAUCAAAUUAGGUCAGAAAGACAAACUAAAAAAUCGAAAGCUUCUGCAAUGGGAUUGCAUUUCAAGUGUCUCUAGAUUCUCACAAAACCCCAGGGAAAUCAUAAUUGGAAAUUAAAGAAGUUGGACUAAUCUUAUGGCAGAAGAGACAGAUGGUACUAAUUAGGGGACAUGAGCCUGUGUCCCUUUCCUUACCAAUGCCAUAACUGUAUAUUAAAAGAUAGAAAAAUUACUGCAUACAUAUGUGUACAGUUGAAACAUAAUAUAUUUAAAGUUAACUUUUAACUCUUGACAGGGAAGAAAUGGAAGGUGCUCAUUUUCAAUGCAGUGCUAGAACUUGACUUCCCACUUUCAGGGAUAUUCCUUUCAAUUAGAUAAGCCAGGAAAGUUAAGACACCUGUAGAAAGUUUUGAAUUUUCAACAAGACUUAGAUAAUGACUGCCUAAACUCUGCAUGUCUGACUGAACUAGAAAAGCCAAUGUGCAGAGCAACUCUAGCUUAGCAUCAAUGUGCUGCACAUCACUUUAAAGUGUGCCUCCAAUGGGAAUGUGGUCAUUGUUUGCACAUGUGCACACUCACUGUCACACACACAUGAAGAUCCUUUGGGAAACACAGCUCACCAAGCCUUGCACCUGCACUUCUGGGUGGCAGUAACCUGACAUUGGAACCACUGUGAUGGGGAUGUCAUUUUCCAUUCUCUCUGGACAGCAGAACAGAUGCUGUCUUGGACUUCAAAGAGAUUUGACUACUCUCUGAGUUUCAAUAAUGAACAACAACUUUUCACAGCCUAGUUUUCAAAAAGUGUAACAAAAUAUACAAAGGGAAAAGAUCAAGGAAGAAUUCAUCGGUCUUUCCUUUCUGAAAUCUUUUGAGGGACAGAAAGGAAGUCAAACUAAAAACAUUUGAUCUUUCCCAGGAACCUGGGCUGGACUGUAUUUAUUGGUUUUCAAAUCAGAUGGUUUACUCUAUGGCCUGAGAUCACGGUAAAGGGCCCAAGUGUAUAAUGAGAAGAUUGGCUUUGGGAGAUCAUUUGUAUAGAUACAUAUAUGUUAAAAGAUAUGUAUAAAAAUAGAAAACCCAGUUGGUGCUAAACAUGUCCCUUUUCUGUGCUUUUCUUUUGCUAGCUUAUCUAAUACUAGCUCUUGAAUUUAGCUUACAUAAUACAAUUGCAAGACAGUAAUAAAAAAAGACUCAAUAGUUUUGAGUAUUCUGAUAUGCAGGUAAGUUCUAGAAAGAAUAUAGACAAGUGUUCUAACCAAAAAAAUUAAGAAUAUUUCCAACACUGUUAGAAAAUUUGUAAUUGACUGAUAUAAUUCAAGAUUUUUAAAAAUCAGGAUAAUGUUUUUUUGUUAAUACCGUACCACAAUUACAAAUAUCUUCAAGAGAAGCAGGUAAAGAUUUGAGUUCUAAGUCUGCCAAACAUCACUCUGGGAGGCUGAUGUAGCAGGAUUGCAAGCUUGUGCCAGCCUGGGCAACUUAGCCACUCAGUGAGAUCCUGACUCAAAAUGUUUAAAAAUGAGAAUGAGUUGGACAUGUAGCUCAGUGAGGCCUUGGGAUCAAUGCCUAGUACUGGAAAAAAAAUCUGUGGAAGCUCAGUGGGAGAAAAUUAAUUCUAUUGGAUUGGCAUAAAAUAUGAAAACCUAUACAAGAAAUUGAACUAUUAUUGUUUCAUUAAUUUUUCAUAAAUUUUCUUUUCUAGUCUUUUAUUUCUUCCUGUGUCAUUUUCUCUCUUUUUGGUGAAAUUGAAACAGUACUCCCUUAAGAUUAUUUGUAGGGAUGCCCCUCAAGUACUUUUAUCUGCGAGGCCCUGCUUCAGGCAAAUCACAAACUAUCACAGUCAGUGGUGAGGCAAAAGUCGAAGGGCCUCACUGGUGUAUGUUUUUUAGCCUUACUCUUCCUAAUCAGUAUGUAUGUCUUACAUACCUUAACAUUUGUUUUAAGUAUACAAUUCACUGAUGUUUAGUGAUUUACCAAGUUGUACAACUAUUACCAGAGUCCAGUUAUAAAACGUUUCCUUCAUCCUAAAGAAAAGAUUCUAGAUGUUUGAAAUCAUAGGAGGGUAUUUCUGCACAAACACUGCAUACUAUCUAAUGAUCUCAUAGUGUGUACCAACAUCCUCAGCAUAGCUGAGAUAUCAGGCAGCUCUGAAACAUCAGUAUUGCCAUGUUGAAUCAGAUAAAUGCUCACCUCACCCUAAACAGAAUAAAGUAAUAAAACAAAGUAAUAAAAUCUGUAAGUAGCUUCUGUUUGAGUCAGAUUUGGCCUAUAAAGGAGCUCAGGUAGAGACAUCCAAUGAACUAGGAAAUGAUUUCAGUGUUUCGUUUUGAAAUUCCAAGUAACGUAUUAACCUGAAAUACUCCUUGUGAGAAUUUAAGAGUAAGUAAGGUGGUUAACAUAGCGCCAAAUACUCGGCCAACCAACUCUCUCGCUCUCCCACCCCCUAUCUCCCUCCGUGUGAUAGAGCUUGCAGAACAGUUUACAGAGUACUGUCUAUGUGGCCAGGGGCCCUCAUCCCCAGAUCUUCUGCCUUAUUAACUGGUGUUAAGAUAUUAGAGCAAAAUGGGAGCUGAUAUUUACUCAUUCUUAUAAAUCAGGCACUGUUCCUAAUAAUUUUCAUGUGCAUUAAUUCGGUCCUUAUAUCUGUCCUGUGAACCAGAUAGGCAUCAUCAUUUCCCGUUGCACAGAUAACAGUGUAUUGUAUCAGAUUGCUUUGGCUCAUAGAGCAGGGGAGGGUGGAAAGGAGCCUCAGAGUCAGGCACUCUGACCUCGCACCCACCUCCCAGUCCCAGGCUCUUACCUGGCAGGAAUGUGGCUUCAACUCUAGGUGGGCACUGGUGCCCUAAUUCUGAAAUACAGAAAGAACAAAACUGUGUAUCUGAAUUUACUUGAUGUUGCAAACUCUUAAUGUUUUAGAACUACAAAAGAUUGUAGUGUUUACAUAAUCCAAAUUAAUAUUUUAAACUAAAGGAAAUAAGAUCUUUAGUUAAGGAAAAAAACCUCAAGACCUCAGGAUAUCAAGCAACUUAAGGUCAGACAAAUAAUGGAAGACUAAAUUCUAGAUCCACUAGUUCCUUGACAAACACUCCUUGUUGAAUCCCGAAACAUCAUCUAAUGAAAUUAUACAUAUGGUCAAAUAAUAAUGGUCAAACAGAGUAAUCCAAAUUUUGUGUUUGGGGAGUAAAUAAUAAUGCAUCACUGCAUAAUUGUUUGAUAUUCUGUAAUAAAAGAGGUAUAGAGAAGACAGAGGUAUGGAGUGGAUCUAUUGUAGAGAGAGGUACAUAGUAGAGUAGAUAUGGAGUAGAUAAUGGAAGAAUUGAGCACAACCCGGUGUAUGGAAACAUCGAGAGCAGAGUAAUUAAUUCCUCUGUGACUAUAUGACACAAAUAGAAAAAAGAAAACACAGAAGAGGCACCUUCUGAACUGGCUCUGGUAGAUGCAUAGAACUGCCUUGAAGACAAAGAGGAAGGCGGGCUGCAUCGAGGACGCUUGUCGGUCUGGUGGCUGGUCCAGCAAGCAGACCCACGGGAAGGUGCCCAGGCCCUGCACUGGCGAUCUUCUGCAGCCAGAAGUUCCUGUGAUCAGCCUAAGACUGCAGACACGUUUUCGCAGUAAGAAUCUCGAGCCUUACAUGCCGACGGUGCUUUGUUUAGCUGCAGUUUCAGAACCCUAAAGCUCUUUAUUGCUUCUGUGGGCACUUAGGAGAUACUUUCAAUUCUUUUGGCUUCUUUGAUUUCUUCUAAUGAAGCGAGAGUAAGACAGGACCCUUGUACCUCUCUUUGAGUCACACUAUCCUGGUAUAGUCUCUGGAUCAGAGUAGAAACUUAAUGUAAAUAUUUUAACAAAAAAUGUUUAUUGGGCACAACAUACAGCAUUUUAUGUGCAUUUUUGUUUUAAUUCUAACAUUAGCCCUAUGAAAAGAUACCAAGAUUAGUCCAGAGAACUGAAAUUUAGAGACUGAGAGCAAGCUGUUUAAUGUGUAGACUUCCAACAAAACACAGACUCAUGUUGUCUACCUGCCUUUAACAUUUUCAAAAUGUGCUGGUCAUUUAUUAUUAUUUUCAUGACGUUACUGGCUCAUAAUUUUCUCAGUGUAAGAUAUAUUUUAUGUGAACUGAUACAGAAUUUCAAGGUGCCAUGUUUGUAUGGGAUGGAAAAUCAGGAAAAGUCAACAUGUUUUUCAAGAAAAUUAAAAAAUAUAAUACAAA